GACGAACGCUGGCGGCGUGCUUAACACAUGCAAGUCGAACGGAGAAUUUAUUUCGGUAAAUUCUUAGUGGCGAACGGGUGAGUAACGCGUGGGCAACCUGCCCUUCAGAUGGGGACAACAUUCCGAAAGGGGUGCUAAUACCGAAUACGAUCACGCUGCCGCAUGGCGGUGUGAUGAAAGAUGGCCUCUAUUUAUAAGCUAUCGCUGAAGGAUGGGCCUGCGUCUGAUUAGCUAGUUGGUGGGGUAACGGCCUACCAAGGCGAUGAUCAGUAGCCGGUCUGAGAGGAUGAACGGCCACAUUGGGACUGAGACACGGCCCAAACUCCUACGGGAGGCAGCAGUGGGGAAUAUUCCGCAAUGGACGAAAGUCUGACGGAGCAACGCCGCGUGAGUGAUGAAGGUUUUCGGACUGUAAAGCUCUGUUGUUUAGGACGAAAGUGCCUGUUGCAAAUAGUUGCAGGUAUUGACGGUACUGAACGAGGAAGCCACGGCUAACUACG
rnacentral:rRNA from 1 species